AAUUCCCCGCUUCUUUCAGGUGUUUGCGCCGUUUCUCGGCCACGCUUAAACAGGAAGUCGGUGCGGCGGUUUUAACCGCCUAUGCCGACGCUGCCCCCGCAACGGUAGAUAAGUAAAGAGCUACGUUUUUGCCACUGUGCGCUUUGCAUGGGAAGGUCGUAGAUCAGGCCUAACGCCACUUAUGAGCCCGGAGACUGGCCCGGAAGAUCAUUCGAGAC
rnacentral:ncRNA from 17 species